rnacentral:misc_RNA from 1 species
GAUGAAGAACGUAGCGAAAUGCGAUACGUAAUGUGAAUUGCAGAAUUCAGUGAAUCAUCGAGUGUUUGAACGCACAUUGCGCCCCCUGGUAUUCCGGGGGGCAUGCCUGUCCGAGCGUCAUUGCUGCCCUCAAGCGCGGCUUGUGUGUUGGGCCUCCGUCCUCCUCCCGGGGGACGGGCCCGAAAGGCAGCGGCGGCACCGCGUCCGGUCCUCGAGCGUAUGGGGCUUCGUCACCCGCUCUUGUAGGCCCGGCCGGCGCUUGCCGACACAUCAAUCUUUUUUCCAGGUUGACCUCGGAUCAGGUAGGGAUACCCGCUGAACUUAAGCAUAUCAAUAAGCGGAGGA